rnacentral:rRNA from 2 species
CUAUCAGCUUUGGAUGGUAGGAUAUGGGCCUACCAUGGCAUUAACGGGUAACGGGGAAUUUGGGUUUGAUUCCGGAGAGGGAGCCUUAGAAACGGCUACCACAUCCAAGGAAGGCAGCAGGCGCGUAAAUUACCCAAUCCUAAUUCAGGGAGGUAGUGACAAUAAAUAACAAUGCCGGGCUUUUUAAGUCUGGCAAUUGGAAUGAAAACAAUUUAAAUCCCUUAUUGAGGAUCAAUUGGAGGGCAAGUCUGGUGCCAGCAGCCGCGGUAAUUCCAGCUCCAAUAGCGUAUAUUAAAGUUGUUGCAGUUAAAAAGCUCGUAGUUGGAUUUCUGAUUUGAGCGUUCGGUCCGCUUCCAGUUUUCUGUGAGGCGCGUACUAUGAAUGCUUGGGUCAUUUUUUUGUGAGGAUGCCUUUCUGCCAUUAAGUUGGUGGUUGGGUGGACUUGCAUCGUUUACUGUGAAAAAAUUAGAGUGUUUAAAGCAGGCAUUUGCCUUUUGAAUACAUUAGCAUGGAAUAAUAAGAUACGACCUUGGUGGUCUAUUUUGUUGGUUUGCACACCAGGGUAAUGAUUAAUAGGGACAGUUGG